rnacentral:misc_RNA from 1 species
AAAUGCGAUACGCAAUGCGAAUUGCAGAAUUCCGCGAAUCAUCAGAUUCUUGAACGCAACUGGCGCUGGAGGGAUAUCCUUCCAGCAUGUCUGUUUCAGUGUCUGAAAACAUCCUAAAUCAUUCUAAUGUGUUUGACAAGGAAUAAAUUAUAUAUAUCGAAUGAUAUUAUAUUUAUCUUCCAAGUCUUACAUGAAAGAUGUAUGUGUGGGUCUUUGGAUCCAUCGAAUUGGUCAUCGAUUUCUUCGGUGAUUUCGAUUGGAUAUUCACCAAUUACUCGUAUACACAUAGAAUAUACAUAUAUAUAUUUAUUUAUAGAUAUAUAUAAACUUCUUUAUCAUCUGCAUCUGAAAUCAGGCAAGAAAACCCGCUGAACUUAAGC